rnacentral:rRNA from 1 species
AUGUGCCGGAACCUGACUACGAUUUCUUCAAAAUUCUGGUGGGCAACAACAAACGGUGAGCGAAAGGUACACUGGAUAUCUUGGCAGAAAAUGUAUGCAGCAAAACGGGAUGGAGGCAUGGGUUUCAGAGACCCCGAGGCUUUCAACCAAGCUUUAUUUGCGAAGCAAGCUUGGAGAGUUCUUCAGGUGCCAACCUCACUGUGUGCAAGAGUGCUUAAGGCGCGUUAUUUCAGCGAGGAUUCGAUCCUAACAGCAACAGCCCCCGCUUCUGCGUCGUAUACCUUCCGUAGUAUUCUUCACGGACGGGAU